UUCUGAAAUCUGAACUAUCUCUCUACCUUUAAUCUCAAUCAGAACUCUAGGUUCGGAUUUGAAAUUUGUGUACCUAAAUAUGCAUUACCUGUCAACUCGUUUGUAAUUUGAUCUGCUUUUAUUUUCUGACCUAAUUUGAACUGAUGUGAACUUGUAUUUGUUCCUGAUAGAUUACGUUAAAUUAAGUUAACUAAUUUGUUUUAGUUGUUCAAAAUACAACACAAUAUAUAAUUUGACUUUAAGACCUAGACUAUGUAUCUAAUCAAAAUUUUAAUUUUAAUUUCAUUGUUAAUUCAUUCUACAGAACAUCGGUUAUUGGUGAUUGUGUUUUUCGACUCGCAGCAAAUGGGAGGCUACUAAAGAGGCUGUUAUAUGGUUGCAGAGAAAGCUCCUCUUGAUCGAUAUUGAAAUGUCGAAUAAGCUUACUUAUGAAAAUGAGAAACUCAAGUGCAGGAUGAGGGCUUACUGUCUUGGACGAAACUGAAGAUGCACUUUUAUGUUUUGGGUUAUAUGGAAAACCAAUACAUUUCAGGUAGUUUCCUUGAAAAGUCUUAGUGUAAGAUCUGGAAUACAUGCGUCACGCAGUUGAAGUUGUGCCAGGUUGCAGAUAACUUCAUAAAAGCUGGUGGCUUAUUUGUGGUGGUGGAGGUGCAGGUUUUGGAGGAGGAUGAGGAGGCAGUGGUGGUGGCUAGCAGCGGUUGUUGGGCCUAGACAGAUGCAUGUAACUCUCAAUUA